UACGGGAGGCAGCAGUGGGGAAUAUUGCACAAUGGGCGAAAGCCUGAUGCAGCUAUGCCGCGUGUAUGAAGAAGGCCUUAGGGUUGUAAAGUACUUUCAUCGGGGAGGAAAAAAACAAAACUAAUAAUUUUAUUUCUUGACGUUACCCGAAAAAGAAGCACCGGCUAACUCCGUGCCAGCAGCCGCGGUAAUACGGAGGGUGCUAGCGUUAAUCAGAAUUACUGGGCGUAAAGAGCACGUAGGUGGUUUUUUUAAAGUCAGAUGUGAAAUCCCUGGGCUUUAACCUAGGAACUGCAUUUUGAAACUGAAAUACUAGAGUAUCGUAGAGGGAGGUAGAAUUCUAGGUGUAGCGGUGAAAUGCGUAGAUAUCUGGAGGAAUACCUGUGGCGAAAGCGGCCUCCUAAACGAAUACUGACACUGAGGGUGCGAAAGCGUGGGGAGCAAACAGGGAUUAGAUACC
rnacentral:rRNA from 1 species